GAUAUGAUAAAGAAUGCUUUAAAAUCUGAGAAGCAUGCAGAUAUAACUCAGAGGCAGACUAUUACAGGCUAAUGUGAGAAGAGUGUCAUGGAGAUAAAGAAAAUGAGACACUGAGCUACUGAGAAAAAGCUGUAGGCCGUGCCUCCAAGGAGCUGGAGCUACUGUGGAAUCAGGUCGUGUGUCUGCUUACCUCCCAACUACUGCUGGCCUAAGGCGACAGCUAAAGGACCAGUAUGACCGGAGCAAGGAAGAUCACUUUCUGCUGCCACUUCAGGAGCUCAGGACCCCUCUGCCACCUGCCCUAUGAAGAUAUAGAACUCUCGGCUCCUUCUCCAGCACCAUGUCUGCCUGCAUGCUGCCACGUCCCACCGUGAUGAUGAUGGAUUAAACCUCUGAAACUAGAUCCUUCCGAAAGCUGUGGCAAAGCCUUUGAACUCAGCUCCUCUGAGGACGGAGAGACGGCUCAGUGGGUUAAGAGCACUUGCUGCUCUUCCAGAGGGUCUGAGUUUGGUCCCCAACACCCACAUCCCGAGCUCACGAUCAACUGGAACUUCUGCUCCAGGGCAUUCAACUCGACCUUCCAGUCUCCACAGGCAC